rnacentral:rRNA from 1 species
UACAGAGGUCUCAAGCGUUGUUCGGAUUCAUUGGGCGUAAAGGGUGCGUAGGCGGCGCGGUAAGUCGGGUGUGAAAUCUCGGGGCUUAACUCCGAAACUGCAUUCGAUACUGCCGUGCUUGAGGACUGGAGAGGAGACUGGAAUUCAUGGUGUAGCAGUGAAAUGCGUAGAGAUCAUGAGGAAGACCAGUGGCGAAGGCGGGUCUCUGGACAGUUCCUGACGCUGAGGCACGAAGGCCAGGGGAGCAAACGGG